UCCCUUGGAAACUAGGGAGUGCCUUCGGGAGCGCAGAGACAGGUGGUGCAUGGCUGUCGUCAGCUCGUGUCGUGAGAUGUUGGGUUAAGUCCCGCAACGAGCGCAACCCACGUCUUUAGUUGCCAGCAUUAAGUUGGGCACUCUAGAGAGACCGCCGGUGAUAAACCGGAGGAAGGUGUGGAUGACGUCAAGUCAUCAUGCCCCUUACGUCCUGGGCUACACACGUACUACAAUGCUACGGACAAAGGGCAGCAAACUCGCGAGAGCUAGCAAAUCCCAUAAACCGUGGCUCAGUUCAGAUCGUAGGCUGCAACUCGCCUACGUGAAGGAGGAAUCGCUAGUAAUCGCAGGUCAGCAUAC
rnacentral:rRNA from 1 species